rnacentral:rRNA from 1 species
GAUGAACGCUGGCGGCGUGCCUAAUACAUGCAAGUCGAGCGAACAGACGAGGAGCUUGCUCCUCUGACGUUAGCGGCGGACGGGUGAGUAACACGUGGAUAACCUACCUAUAAGACUGGGAUAACUUCGGGAAACCGGAGCUAAUACCGGAUAAUAUAUUGAACCGCAUGGUUCAAUAGUGAAAGACGGAUUUGCUGUCACUUAUAGAUGGAUCCGCGCCGCAUUAGCUAGUUGGUAAGGUAACGGCUUACCAAGGCAACGAUGCGUAGCCGACCUGAGAGGGUGAUCAGCCACACUGGAACUGAGACACGGUCCAGACUCCUACGGGAGGCAGCAGUAGGGAAUCUUCCGCAAUGGGCGAAAGCCUGACGGAGCAACGCCGCGUGAGUGAUGAAGGUCUUCGGAUCGUAAAACUCUGUUAGUAGGGAAGAACAAAUGUGUAAGUAACUAUGCACGUCUUGACGGUACCUAAUCAGAAAGCCACGGCUAACUACGUG